rfam:Smittium mucronatum strain ALG-7-W6 scaffold-1507, whole genome shotgun sequence.
GGUAUCUUGGCCGAGCGGUCUAAGGCGCCGCACUCAAGUUGCGGUCUCGAAAGAGGCGUGAGUUCGAAUCUCACAGAUACCA